GACGAACGCUGGCGGCGUGCUUAACACAUGCAAGUCGAACGGAAAGGCCCUGCUUUUGUGGGGUGCUCGAUUGGCGAACGGGUGAGUAACACGUGAGUAACCUGCCCUUGACUUUGGGAUAACUUCAGGAAACUGGGGCUAAUACCGGAUAGGAGCUCCUGCUGCAUGGUGGGGGUUGGAAAGUUUCGGCGGUUGGGGAUGGACUCGCGGCUUAUCAGCUUGUUGGUGGGGUAGUGGCUUACCAAGGCUUUGACGGGUAGCCGGCCUGAGAGGGUGACCGGCCACAUUGGGACUGAGAUACGGCCCAGACUCCUACGGGAGGCAGCAGUGGGGAAUAUUGCACAAUGGGCGGAAGCCUGAUGCAGCAACGCCGCGUGCGGGAUGACGGCCUUCGGGUUGUAAACCGCUUUCGCCUGUGACGAAGCGUGAGUGACGGUAAUGGGUAAAGAAGCACCGACUAACUACGUG
rnacentral:rRNA from 1 species